UUUAAGGCCCUUGUUGUGGCUAUUGAAACUACUUGUUCAAACUCAGCCUCUAAGAGGGAUAGGGAACUUAGAAGGCUAACUUACUCCAUUAACUAUGAUUUGAAGGAAUGGAGUGAUGAAAGGGAUAGAUCGAAAGGGAGGGGCAAUUUAUGUUUACAUGAAGCCUAAGAUCAUAUCAUGGAAUGUGCGAGGGCUCAAUAAUCGCAAUAAAUGCCUUCGUAUCAAAUCAUUAUUGCGGAUGUAGAAGGGUGAUGUGGUGUGCUUUCAAGAAACAAAGUUGCAACACAUUGAUAGAAGAAUUGUGCGAAGCCUAUAGGGAUGCUCGUAUGUGGGUUGAUCUUACUUGGCCUCUGAGGGUGCCUCAAGCAGAGUGUUACUUAUAUGGGAUAAAAGAUUGGUUGAGGCAAUUAAGGAGUGUAUUGGAGAUUUCUCAGUAGCAGCUCUUUCAUAAAUGUUGUUGAUGGAUGGGAAUGGGCAUUUGUAGACACCUAUGGUCCUAAUGUGGACAGGGAUAGAAGAAGGCUAUGGGAA